rnacentral:rRNA from 1 species
AUUGAACGCUGGCGGCAGGCCUAACACAUGCAAGUCGAACGGUAGCACAGAGAGCUUGCUCUUGGGUGACGAGUGGCGGACGGGUGAGUAAUGUCUGGGAAACUGCCCGAUGGAGGGGGGUAACUACUGGAAACGGUAGCUAAUACCGCAUAACGUCUUCGGACCAAAGUGGGGGACCUUCGGGCCUCACACCAUCGGAUGUGCCCAGAUGGGAUUAGCUAGUAGGUGGGGUAAUGGCUCACCUAGGCGACGAUCCCUAGCUGGUCUGAGAGGAUGAACAGCCACACUGGAACUGGGACACGGUCCAGACUCCUACGGGAGGCAGCAGUGGGGAAUAUUGCACAGUGGGCGCAAGCCUGAUGCAGCCAUGCCGCGUGUAUGAAGAAGGCCUUCGGGUUGUAAAGUACUUUCAGCGGGGAGGAAGGCGAUGGAGUUAAUAGCUUCAUCGAUUGACGUUACCCGCAGAAGAAGCACCGGCUAACUCCGUGCCAGCCGCCGCCGUAA